AGUGAACGCUGGCGGUAGGCCUAACACAUGCAAGUCGAACGGCAGCACAGGAGAGCUUGCUCUCUGGGUGGCGAGUGGCGGACGGGUGAGGAAUACAUCGGAAUCUACUUUUUCGUGGGGGAUAACGUAGGGAAACUUACGCUAAUACCGCAUACGACCUACGGGUGGAAGCAGGGGACCUUCGGGCCUUGCGCGAUUGAAUGAGCCGAUGUCGGAUUAGCGAGUUGGCGGGGGAAAGGCCCACCAAGGCGCCGAUCCGUAGCUUGUCUGAGGGGAUUAUCGGCCACACUGGAACUGAGACACGGUCCAGACUCCUACGGGAGGCAGCAGUGGGGAAUAUUGGACAAUGGGCGCAAGCCUGAUCCAGCCAUACCGCGUGGGUGAAGAAGGCCUUCGGGUUGUAAAGCCCUUUUGUUGGGAAAGAAAUCCAGCUGGCUAAUACCCGGUUGGGAUGACGGUACCCAAAGAAUGAGCACCGGCUAACUUCGUGCCAGCAGCCGCGGUAA
rnacentral:rRNA from 1 species